rnacentral:rRNA from 1 species
UCGACCGGGACGAACGUAGAGGGGCUAAUACCCGCUUCUAUCGACUGUACCGGUGGAGGAAGCCACGGCUAACUCUGUGCCAGCAGCCGCGGUAAUACAGAGGUGGCAAGCGUUGUUCGGAAUUACUGGGCGUAAAGGGCGCGUAGGCGGCCUUGUAAGUCCUGUGUGAAAUCCCCCGGCUCAACUGGGGAACUGCACAGGAGACUGCUUGGCUUGAGUUCGGGAGAGGGAAGCGGAAUUCCGGGUGUAGCGGUGAAAUGCGUAGAUAUCCGGAGGAACACCGGUGGCGAAGGCGGCUUCCUGGACCGACACUGACGCUGAGGCGCGAAAGCCAGGGGAGCAAACGGGAUUAGAUACCCCGGUAGUCCUGGCUGUAAACGAUGAGCGCUGGGUGUAGGGGGUAUUGACCCCCCUGUGCCGAAGCUAACGCAUUAAGCGCUCCGCCUGGGGAGUACGGUCGCAAGGCUG